GACGCAGCGACGCCGCGUGAGGGAUGAAGGCUCUCGGGUUGUAAACCUCUUUCAGCGGGGACGAAGCGAAAGURACGGUACCCGCAGAAGAAGCCCCGGCCAACUACGUGCCAGCAGCCGCGGUAAUACGUAGGGGGCGAGCGUUGUCCGGAUUUAUUGGGCGUAAAGAGCUCGUAGGUGGUUUGGCAAGUCGGACGUAA
rnacentral:rRNA from 1 species